rnacentral:rRNA from 1 species
GACGAACGCUGGCGGCGUGCUUAACACAUGCAAGUCGAGCGGAAAGGCCCCUUCGGGGGUACUCGAGCGGCGAACGGGUGAGUAACACGUGAGCAACCUGCCCCUGACACUGGGAUAAGCCUGGGAAACCGGGUCUAAUACCGGAUGAGGCCGACGAGCCGCAUGGUUUGUCGGUCAAAGGGUUACCGGUUGAGGAUGGCCCUGCGUCCCAUUAGCUAGUUGGUGAGGUAACGGCUCACCAAGGCGACGAUGGGUAGCCGGCCUGAGAGGGUGACCGGCCACACUGGCACUGAGACACGGGCCAGACUCCUACGGGAGGCAGCAGUAGGGAAUCUUGCGCAAUGGGCGAAAGCCUGACGCAGCGACGCCGCGUGAGGGAAGAAGGCCUUUGGGUCGUAAACCUCUGUCGGAGGGGACGAACACUGACGGUACCCUCCAAGGAAGCCCCGGCUAACUACGUG